UUGUGCGCAAGUCAAGGCUGAGCAUCAGAAGCCGUCAGGUUUGCUUCAGCAACCUGAAAUUCCCAAAUGGAAGUGGGAAAUGGUGACAAUGGAUUUUAUCACCAAGUUGCCGAAGACGAAAAAGGGAAAUGAUACCAUAUGGGUCAUAGUAGACAGACUGACUAAGUCAGCUCAUUUUCUACCCAUCAAAGAGACGUAUAGCUCAGAUAUGUUAGCUCAAUUAUACGUCGAUAAGAUAGUAGCGCUACAUGGUAUACCUAUAUCUAUUAUCUCUGAUAGAGAUACUAGAUAUACGUCACAUUUUUGGAAAAGUUUCCAACAGUCGUUGGGCACUCGUUUGAAUUUUAGUACGGCUUACCAUCCUCAGACUGAUGGUGGUAGUUGGGAUAAGAACCUACCACUGAUUGAAUUCUCCUACAACAAUAGCUACCAUUCCAGCAUAAAGGCUGCGCCUUUUGAGGCCCUAUACG
rnacentral:lncRNA from 1 species